UGUAGUGUAACCUUUAUGUAUAUUUUCUUUGGGUUAAGUAAGUUUUCUCCACGAGAGAAAGCCAGAGAUACUGGCAGUUUUGUAGUAGAUCGUAUCGGGAGAUAUCGACACGUAUAAUAGAAUGGCAUAUUAAUUUAGUGUCAUAACAGCUUCAUUAGAUAUCCAUAUUCUAUUAGACAAAUCUCAUAUUUCACCAGGUCCUCCAGUCCCGGUUUGAGAGCGAAAGCCAGAGUUUGAUUGGGGUAACGUGUCUAAAGUACCAGAUACUUUGUAAGUAUAAAAACAAUGUUGUUUGAUGUAUAAUAUAGGCUAUUGUAUAAAGAACAGUCACUCACCCUGAACUCAUUGUUAAAAUGUAUAUUUCAUUCCAUAACCAUUUUAACCUUCAUGUCAUUCUUUAUCAUUCUUAUAAUGAUAAGUUAUUUAGUAAUGUCUCCAGUAUUGUAAGACAAUGUUAUUUAUGUAAUUGCAGGACGUUUCACUGUUACUGCCAUUCCAGUGGUUACACGGGUUGGACAUGUUUUGAUGUGUAAAUGACAAAAUAAAAUAUCGAACGAAACUUUA